UUCACCUGGCCCGUUAAUGACAAAACGGGCCUGCAACUAUCACUGAUCGCCGAGCUCACCGGGUCCCCUGGCGGCCUGGCCACCGUGGUGCGCAGCGAGCAGCUUUUGUGGUAUGACGCGCGCCGUCGCCGCCCAGUCGAGCGGCGGCGGUGGACGCGGGGGGGAAGGACUCGUCGCCGGCCAGUCAGCAGGUAACGGCGCGCCGGGCGCGGUGACCGAGAGAUGUGUGACGAUGGUUGCCUCCUUCAGGUGUGACUGACGCUCGUUUGCCGCUUGCUGCAGGAGACAGGAGGUGAAUGGGACAUCUUGUUGCUAGCUAGAGGUGGGUGGGCAGGGGAUCGAGGUCGAUCGAUUGUGCCCAGAAUAUGCUGUGGUGUAUCACCCAUUUUGACAUGCUUCGGCUGUGCAGGCACCCUGUUCGACGUUUUGCCUAGGAGAGCCGGCGGAGUUGGAUCCAGCGUUUUCGCAUGAUUACCAUCCUGUGAUGAUGUGCAAUGACACUCUAUGGGGGUAUCUGAGGUCAGUACCCUGGGCCGAUCAUUUCUUUUUGAAGGGUACAAUUUUUUUGAAAUCCAGCCCUCUGAUGAGCAUAACUCUGUAAAUGAUAGUCGUUCUGAACUUCUGAUAUAGGCUGUAGUGAUGACUUAUCAUACUGUUCUUACUUCUUAGCAGCACAAAAAUUUGGAACUGGGAAGAACUCAAUGUGCAGUUCACCCGAAGCACAGGAUUAGAAUAAUCGACAGUUCACAUUUCUGUUUGGUUUUCUGUAC
rnacentral:lncRNA from 1 species